rnacentral:rRNA from 1 species
UGGGGAAUCAUGGUCAAUGGGGAAACCCUGACGCUGCGACGCCGCGUGGGUGAUGAAGGCCUUCGGGUCGUAAAACCCUGUCGAGAGGGGCGAAAAGCCGGUGUGUUAAUACCACGCCGGCUUGACGGUACCUCUGGAGGAAGCCCCGGCUAACUCCGUGCCAGCAGCCGCGGUAAUACGGAGGGUGCAAGCGUUGUUCGGAAUCACUGGGCGUAAAGGGCGCGUAGGCGGUUUGAUAAGUCAGAUGUGAAAGCCCACGGCUUAACUGUGGAAGUGCAUUUGAAACUGUCAGACUUGAGUAUCAGAGGGGAAAGUGGAAUUCCCGGUGUAGAGGUGAAAUUCGUAGAUAUCGGGAGGAAUACCGGUGGCGAAGGCGACUUUCUGGCUGAAUACUGACGCUGAGGCGCGAAAGCGUGGGGAGCAAACA